GACGUAGGGCGCGAGCGUUGUCCGGAUUUAUUGGGCGUAAGGAGCUCGUAGGCGGCUUGUCGCGUCGAAUGUGAAAUCUCGGGGCUCAACUCCGAGCUUGCAUUCGAUACGGGCAGGCUAGAGUUCGGUAGGGGAGACUGGAAUUCCUGGUGUAGCGGUGAAAUGCGCAGAUAUCAGGAGGAACACCGGUGGCGAAGGCGGGUCUCUGGGCAAUAACUGACGCUGAGGAGCGAAAGCGUGGGGAGCGAACAGG
rnacentral:rRNA from 1 species